UACGGAGGGAGCUAGCGUUGUUCGGAAUUACUGGGCGUAAAGCGCACGUAGGCGGCUUUGUAAGUUAGGGGUGAAAGCCCGGAGCUCAACUCCGGAAUUGCCUUUAAGACUGCAUCGCUUGAAUCCGGGAGAGGUGAGUGGAAUUCCGAGUGUAGGGGUGAAAUUCGUAGAUAUUCGGAAGAACACCAGUGGCGAAGGCGGCUCACUGGACCGGUAUUGACGCUGAGGUGCGAAAGCGUGGGGAGCAAACAGG
rnacentral:rRNA from 1 species